rnacentral:lncRNA from 1 species
UGAAAAAGCAAGAAUUCUAAGCUAAAAUAUUAGUGACGUCUAUUAAAAUGUUUGAAAUAAUUAUGAAGUCGACAGGAAAUGAGCUUGUUCAGAUAGUUUACAGUCAGCUUACAUUGCCUCCUGUAUAAAUGUCUCCUCACAGUGCUUUCUUAAAAUUAUUUGAAAUCAAUGUGAUUGUUUUUAUCAUGAACUCUGAGCGCAUAAUGAC